rnacentral:tRNA from 3 species
UCGGGAUAGCUCAGUUG